UGGCGAACGGGUGAGUAACACGUAGGAACCUGACGUUUGGUGGGGGAUAACGCUGGGAAACCGGCGCUAAUACCGCAUGAGGUCCCUGGAAACGGGGAGGAAAGCAGCAAUGCGCCAGAUGAGGGGCCUGUGGCCGAUUAGCUAGUUGGUGAGGUAAAGGCCCACCAAGGCGACGAUCGGUAGCUGGUCUGAGAGGAUGGUCAGCCACACUGGGACUGAGACACGGCCCAG
rnacentral:rRNA from 1 species